rnacentral:lncRNA from 1 species
AAAAGAAGCAUUUUAUUACUUACAGAUCCCAGAGAGGAAAGGGCAGCAUGCCUCACAGGACCAACAGAAAGCGGGCCAUCCAGUAGGUGAGAAGCAAGAGAGAGUGAGAAAUCUGUGGGCUGAAGACUUCAAUGGGGUCCAGAGUAUUACCCAAACAGAUUUCCUGUGGGGAGUUCUAAUUGGUGGGUUUGGAGCAAGCACACAUGAGCUCCAUCAAGAGUUUCUGGAUCAGCCACAUUGAAGAACUAGGAGGAGAUGGAGAACUGAAAAAUGUGCAAGAUUGAUUAAGCCCUGCUUUUGGUAUGAGAAAGUUAAACCUA